UACGUAGGGUGCGAGCGUUAAUCGGAAUUACUGGGCGUAAAGCGUGCGCAGGCGGUUCGUUGUGUCGGCGGUGAAAGCCCCGGGCUUAACCUGGGAAUGGCCGUUGAAACUGGCGAACUGGAGUGUGGCAGAGGGGGGUGGAAUUCCGCGUGUAGCAGUGAAAUGCGUAGAGAUGUGAGGAACACCUAUGGCGAAGGCAGCUCGCUGGGACGUUACUGACGCUGAGACGCGAAAGCGUGGGGAGCAAACAGG
rnacentral:rRNA from 1 species